rnacentral:rRNA from 1 species
UAGGGAAUAUUGCGCAAUGGGGGAAACCCUGACGCAGCGACGCCGCGUGAGUGAUGAAGGAUUUAGGUUCGUAAAGCUCUGUUGCAUGGGAAGAAACAAAUGACGGUACCAUGCAAGCAAGGACCGGCUAACUUCGUGCCAGCAGCCGCGGUAAGACGAGGGGUCCUAGCGUUGUUCGGAAUCAUUGGGCGUAAAGCGUGUGUAGGUGGCUUUGUAAGUCAGGUGUGAAAGCCCAGGGCUUAACCCUGGAAGUGCAUUUGAUACUGCGAAGCUUGAGUACUGGAGAGGAUAGUAGAAUUCCUGGUGUAGUGGUGAAAUACGUAGAUAUCAGGAGGAAUACCGGUGGCGAAGGCGGCUAUCUGGCCAUGUACUGACACUGAGACACGAAAGCGUGGGGAUCAAACAGG